UUUUGAUCCGUGCGUCAGGAUAAACGCUGGCGGCGCACAUAAGACAUGCAAGUCGAACGAACUUAACCUCUUGCUUGCAAGAGGAGCGGUUAUGGCGGACUGGUGGGUAACACGUAGAAAUCUGCCUAUCAGAGGGGAAUAACAGUGAGAAAUCAUUGCUAAUACCGCAUAUGCCAUAAUUAUCGCAUGAUAAUAGUGGGAAAGGAGCAAUCCGCUGAUAGAUGAGCUUGCGUCUGAUUAGCUAGUUGGUGGGGUAAAGGCCUACCAAGGCGACGAUCAGUAGCCGGACUGAGAGGUUGAACGGCCACAUUGGGACUGAGAUACGGCCCAGACUCCUACGGGAGGCAGCAGUCGGGAAUAUUGCGCAAUGGAGGAAACUCUGACGCAGUGACGCCGCGUAUAGGAAGAAGGUUUUCGGAUUGUAAACUAUUGUCCACAGGGAAGAAAAUGACUGUACCUGUGAGGAAAGCUCCGGCUAACUACGUG
rnacentral:rRNA from 1 species